rnacentral:snRNA from 1 species
GUGCUUGCUUCUGCUGCGUAUACACUAAAAUUGGAAUGAUAGAGAAAACUAGCGUGACCCCUGCGCAAGGAUGACACGCAAAUUCGUGAAGCAUUCCAUGUUUUU